AGAGUUUGAUCAUGGCUCAGAAUCAACGCUGGCGGCGUGCCUAACACAUGCAAGUCGAACGAGAAAGGGGAGCAAUCCCUGAGUAAAGUGGCGCACGGGUGAGUAACACGUGACUAACCUACCCUGGAGUGGGGGAUAACUGAGGGAAACCUUAGCUAAUACCGCAUAAUACCCACGGGUCAAAGGAGCAAUUCGCUUUG
rnacentral:rRNA from 1 species